CUGGCUCAGGAUGAACGCUGGCGGCGUGCUUAACACAUGCAAGUCGAACGGAGAUAUCGGCUUCGGCUGGUAUCUCAGUGGCGGACGGGUGAGUAACGCGUGGGUAACCUGCCUUACACCGGGGGACAACAGUUGGAAACGACUGCUAAUACCGCAUAAGACCACGGAGCCGCAUGGCCCUGGGGUAAAAGAUUUAUCGAUGUAAGAUGGACCCGCGUCUGAUUAGCCAGUUGGCGGGGUAACGGCCCACCAAAGCUACGAUCAGUAGCCGACCUGAGAGGGUGAUCGGCCACAUUGGGACUGAGACACGGCCCAAACUCCUACGGGAGGCAGCAGUGGGGAAUAUUGGGCAAUGGGCGCAAGCCUGACCCAGCGAACCGCCGCGUGAGUGAAGAAGUAUUUCGGUAUGUAAAGCUCUAUCAGCAGGGAAGACAAUGACGGUACCUGACUAAGAAGCACCGGCUAAAUACGUGCCAGCAGCUGC
rnacentral:rRNA from 1 species